AAGAUCAAACGAUGAAGGGAGCAUCUGUCGACAGUUUGAAUUUAAAUACUGUCAUGGAGUUGCUCUCUUUACCGGGUUGGUC
rfam:Lottia gigantea unplaced genomic scaffold LOTGIsca_7, whole genome shotgun sequence.